GAAUGUGCAGAUGCACAACAGCUGGAGUAGGGAUCGACUGUCUCUACCUGAGCCCCUGGAUCCAUUCUCUGAUGUGAACGAGUGUCGCAUGUCGAUGGAAACAUGGCAACCCCUGUGGUCACACCAAACAAUGCCAAAGCUGGAAGUGAGGAAGGAAAAACAAGUCGGGCAAUCUCUAAUUGAUGAGGAAUUUGAACUGGAGAGUUGGAAGGCACAGCUCGAGUACCUCAGCAGUGUGCAGCAGGAGAGACAUCGAGUCAGCACCAGGUGGGCAGUGGGCGGAGUGUCUGCUGUCAUUCAUGAUGAUGGACAAGACAUGGAGUGCCCAGGUCGUGAGGGCGAGGAUGUUGUAUCAAAAUCACACUUUCUCCAGCUGGUGGAGCAGACGUACCAAAUGCUCUUUGAACGCCUCCAGCAAGACAGACUACAGAAACAUUGGGAAACCUCUACUCUACUAUCAUUGCUCCUGGAUUUGCAUAGAUGUUGUGAGAGAGAAAUGUCUUCCAUUUUGUCCUCACCGAUGGCCCCAGUGCAGAGGUCCCAGCUCUUCCUUUCCCAGCACUACCUGCAAUGCCAGGCCCAGCACCAAGACACUUUUGAGACAGCAGCGCUUGUGCUCGGCAUCAGCGAGUGGAGGCAGAAUGGCCACACCUCACAGUUAUAUGAGAGUAGGAAUGAAAUGUUAGCUGUGAGCAGACUGCAGGAUUUCAUCUGCACAACCUAUCCUCAGAAACCAAGGCAGUCAGUGGUCACAACCUUUGAUCCCAAGGCAUUAGUAAAGCUGGGACGGAUUCACAUUCAGAAGAUGAUUUUGGAACAGUUGUGUAAAAAUCACCAUGAGGAACGAACAUUGCUACUACAGUUUAUUUACAAGCAGAUGAUACCAGGAAUUGAUGUGGAGCCUUGCACAGAGAAGUUGGUAUGUAACGAUACUCCUAUUAACAGCCAGAAUGAAAUCUGGGAUAACCCCCCAUCAAGCAGGCCAGGACAUACCACGGGUAGUGAGAAAAGUGAUCUUCAGCUCAGUCUCUUGGAGAAAGCCUUUGUUCUGUACUGGGAAAGGAGGGAGACCACGGUGCAGCUGAGGAGGCAAAGCCCAGCCAUCGUGGGGCUCAUGGAGCUACAGCUCAUGCAACUGGCCAAUGUCCAGGAACUGACCCAACAGAUGGAGGGACAGUUUACAAAUGACCUGGUUACCACUUACUGCUCACUAUACGAUGACUGGCAGAACAACCAGCACUAUAGCAACCUGGCAGUCAUGUUCCUGGAGCUAGUUACACCAGAGAUGGAUGUUGAUCAGAUUGAGCAGGGUCUGGGAUCUGCUGAUGUUUCAGUGCAUGACAACAUGGAUAAUGGAGUUGUGUUGGACAUCUGCAAGGUUAAACCAUCUGCUGUUAGAGGUGAUGCCAUCAAUUCCAGUGAAAUAACUGCACCAACUCUGGACAACUUUCCAUUGCCACAGGAACCAACCCUUGAGGUGCACAAAUUGGAGGCGCUGGAGGAGAUUUGUGUUGGUUAUCCAGAAAACGUAGAAAAAAUGGAUCUGGGGAUUCCAAUUGAAGCUUCAGCAAAAGUCAAGAGUGAGAUAUGUGAAGCAGAAGGGGGCUUGGUGAGGGAUCAGCAACACCUGGAGGAGACGGAAUCAAAGUCUGGAGAGCUGGAUGUUGUUUCUGUGGCACAGAAUGGAGAGCAAAUGUUUGAGAUUUCUGUUGAUCAUCCGGCCAGCCAGUCACAACAGGGAGAAAUCUCUCUGCAUAUUCCAUUAGAUCAAGCCUCAGUGAAAGCCAUGUCCAACAGAGAGCAAGACCAGACACAAAAGCAGCAACAAGGAGAUGGGCCUGAUUUAAAGUCCAGAGACUUGACUCACAUAGGUGGCCCUCGGUGUAAGACGAACACAAUAUUAAUAUCAGAAGAAGAGAAGAAGCAUGUCCUGAGGAGUCUGGCACAUGUUCAGAGGAAAGCCGAAGAGAAGCGAAGGAGAGAGAAGGAGAGGCAGACACUACGGGUACUGGAGGGCCUUUCCAUUGCUCGGAACAGGAUAUCAACUAUUGACAGACCAUUCCCUCAGACAUAUGGACAGGAUUGUCUCACUGAAGACCUGCUCAAGGAAUCUGUUCACUGGAGGACUAAAGUCAGGGAAACUUUGGAACACCUUCGACAAGAACGUACCUUCAUUCUGAGAUCAAAAGGCGAGAGGAACACAGCCAGUUUUAAUGAACUGUUCAAUCCUGUGGAAACUAAGGAUUUUACUGAUGGGAAGAAUCAAAGUGAACAUUCAAAGGAGGUCCAACAUCCAGGAAUCCAUGUAACAGAUUCCCUCAACCCGUUGUUUUGAAUGGUCUCUUUAAGAAAGGAUUUAGAACGGAUUUAGUCUCAUUGUUUAACUGAAGAUUGGGGAGUGUGGUUUUGGCCCAAGCCCUAUUCCACAGAAAUAGGAAUAUGAACAGGAGGUAGCUACUCGACAGAGCCCUUGACCUGCUCCAUUGUCCAAUGUACCUGGCUGAUUUUCUCC